rnacentral:pre_miRNA from 1 species
AGUGGGAUAGCUGGGUCAAAUGGUGGCUCCAUUUCAAGUUUUCUGAGGAAUAUCCAUACUGCUUUCCAUAGUGUUUGUACCAAUUUGCAGUCCCACCAGCAAU